UUCGGAUUCUGUGUCUCCCCCUUUCUCUGCCCCCUCCCCUGCUUGCUCUCUGUCUCUUGCUCUCUCAAAAAAAAAAAAAAAAAAAAAAAAAAAUUAAAAAAAUAAAAGUAAUUGGUUAAAAAAAGUUGUAGACAUGACACUUUAUUCUUUAAUACUUUGCACGGUAUUACCUAAGAAUAAAGACUUUCCCCCAUAUUUUCAGAAUACUGUUAUCAUAUCUGUAAGAAUGAUCAAGAAUUCAGUAUCAUCUAAUGAACAGUGUCUUAACAUUCGCCUAGGUUUUCCCCAAAAGUCUUACACUUUUGUUUUGAAUAUCCAUGUCUCAGUCAAGAUUUGAUUAUUGUAUUUUGUUGUCAUGUGUAGUCUUUGUUAAUCUAGAACAUUCUUCCCAGUGAGCUUCAAAGAGAGAGCUUCGAGAGAGAGUGCUCCAGUGAGUCGUGACCCUUGAGCCCCAAACUUCCAACAGAUGUCCACCAGCUGGUCCAGCUCAGGGCAACUGCACUCGGACAUGUCCCGGCAGCUCACGUGGCCCCAGUUCAUUAACCGCCAGGAGCUGGACCAUGUUGUCAGGUGCUUCUUCACAAAUCUUAAACUGGAGCACCGUGCAGCCUUGCUGUACACGUGCUUUGCCCGCUGGUGGAGUUUGAAGAUGAGCACGUCUUGAGUGUUCGGGCUCAGAAUUUGGGUUCAAAGCUCCUGCAGGCUAAUUCCCAGAUACCUGUAGACCUCUUCAGGGCUAUAGGGUUCAAGGUGAAGAACAUCUUCUGUGAUCCUCAGCAUUUCUUCCAGACUCACCCUUAGUUUGGCCUAUACCUCCUCUAGCUGCAGUAUUUUAUCCCAUUUCAAGCCUUUGUACUUAGCCAGGAGCUUGGCCCAAAACUCCCAAUAUGUAGAAUGGUGUACUUGAUGGCUGCUUCACAAGCUACUCUGAAGAUUAAGUUCUUUUAAAAGACUGUGAAUGGGACAGGGGUUGGGGUGGGGAGAGAGAGAGAGAAGGAGAAUCUUAAGCAGGCUCCACACUUAGCAUGGAUCCCACAACCCUGGGAUCAUGACCUGAGCUGGAAUCAAGAGUCAAAUGCUUAACCGACUGAGCCACCCAGGCGCCCCUGGAGUCUAUAUUUUUUAAAGAAGCAACAGUGGUAAUUCUGAUGAUUCUCCCAAGAUUUGGAACCAGACCAUGCCCCAUUUUGCUGUCACUCUCCCCCAACAAACACGUUCCCUAGAUAGGAAUCCUCUGAAAGGUGGUCUACGAGCUCAUGAGUAUCAAGGGAGAACUUUCUUCUAUCGCUUUGGGUCCCCAAGUACCCAAUUUCCUUUAUUAUUGAGCUUCAUAACAUUAAGCUGAAACUGUCCCUGUAACUCACUGAUCAGUGACAGGCCCCAGUGGCCAUCCCAGGCUACACAGAGCUGGCUGGCAUCUGCUUUCAGCUGAUGGUCCUUUAGAGAUAGCAAGCCCAUAAUGCUCAGGCAUUUGUGGAUUUCAGACCCACCACCAUCAUGUUACAUGGCCUUACGGUGUGGCAGCCACGUCUGGGCAAAGCAUCGGAUGCGAUGGUAGCAGUGCUGAAUUCAGUGCUCCCUUGUUAGGGACACUCCACUUCUCUUCCUGUACCGUCGGUCCAUAUGGAACUCGCUCCAGCCACCUGCUUCAGGUCUUUUUCAUGUGGUCUACUGUCACGUCACUUUCCCAUCAUGCACUCAGUCAAGUUUUGGAACACAAAUGUGGGGUUGUGUGCAUGCCGUACUGGGAAAGCAACACUAAGUCGCACAAUGCUGUCACUCCAGGACAGUAAGAGUGCCCACUGAAUCUUCUUGCUGCACACGGCACGGCUGGGCCAGCACUCGGGACACCUGCUGUGUGUAGGGAGGCGAGGCGCACUUGGGUCCUCAUCCCACCUUCCCACCUACCGACUGGGCAGCCUUCUGCAACUGCCCUCAUUUAUCCUUCUAAACCAGGUUCCUGAUCCGAGAACAGGUGGAGGAUGACUGGCAGGAUUGUUUGAGGACUGAAUAGGCUAAUAUGUACCUUGGCAAGCCCUCAAUAAAUGGUAGCCAGUUACUAUGAGUUCUUGUUAUCAGUGACCAUAGACGAUGUUUGUGUCCCCCCCAAAACUCAUUCUUGAAAUCUUAUCCCCAAGUGCAAUGGUAUUAGGAGGUGGAGCCUUUGGAGGGUGAAUAGCUCCGCCCUCACGAAUGGGAUUAAUGACUCCAGAGGGCUCCUUUGCCCCUCUGUCAUGUGAGAACACUACAGAUGAAUGCCAAAGCAGAAAGUGGGCUCUCACCAGACACUGAAUCUGCCAGCACCUUGAUCUUGGACUUCCUAGCCUCCAGAACUGUGAGAAAAAUGCGUUUGUAAACCACCCAGUCUUAAGGAUGCUGUUAUCGCAGCCGGAACCGACCAAGACCGUAACUGAUGAAGGUCAUCCUGUCCUGAGAAGGUGAAGGGCAGAGCCUGACCUUAAUAUGGCGUCAAGCUCUGGACCAGGUGGAAGCAGUUCUGUCUCUCCCCAAUCCUGAGACUGUGUAAUGUGUUGCUAGCAGCUCUUUGAUUAUGUCACUGCUUUGCAGUCUCCAAAGUGCUUUCACAUCGGAACUUACUCAGGGCACCAUUCGAAUAGCUACUCUUCAUCCCAUUUCACAAAUGGGGAAACAGGCUCCAGGAGCGUAUGACUUACGAAGGUUUUCUGGCUCUCGAUCUGAUAGUGUGCCCUCCACCCCACAAGGCUGUUGGAAUUCUUUUAAUUUGCUUUGUAAGUCAGUCAUUCAUGCAUUUACUCAUCUUAGCCCUGUGAGGCCCUGCUAACUUCCUAGAAGCAGACAAAUGAUGCAGUCGGCUCCUUUCUGGGGCCUCCAGAGGGUUCUGCAAAUAGCACAUGCUCGAAAGAUGUUUUGCAGUUAGCAAAACUGCAAAGUUGAGACAAUCCUGCUUGAGUCCCAUGUGCUCGUUGUCUCUGUGGGGGGACCCAGGAAAGGUAGGGACUAGGGUGCGGCUGGUCCCAUUGGGGACCAGUUAGACCAGAUGAGGACAGUGAGGACUGCUGUGGGGAAGGUGGCUCGGAGGAGGCAGGAAGGUACAGGUACUAGUCUCCUGCCAAGGCCCUGGUUCUGUGCUGGCCCGGCCAGAGCGAGCAGAGCGGAGCAGGGGCCUGUGUCUCUGAUAACAUAACACCCCGGGUGCCGAGCACUGCUUCCAGGAGGUUGGGUGUCCGGGGCACUCCCCACAGCACCCUUCUUCAGGCUCUGCAGGGCCUGGUGUCUGGUCUGAGGCAGCCCUCCCUGCUGCAAAGAUGGGAGAAAGGGGGUGGCAGUCAGAGUAUGAGCAGGGGCUUUUGUGUGUUUGGGCCUGGGGAAGCAGAGCUAAAAUUAGGUCUUCCAGCUGUGUGCAGGUGUGGAAUCCCGCCCUUUCCCCUCCCCCGAACCAGGAUCUUGGAAUUAUUUCCAUUUCCUCCCUCCCUCCCCGCCCAGUCCUGGUUCCUCCGCAGGCAUGAGUUGAACUGUCCCGCCUCUCUGGUCAUGGGCCUUUCCACCCAAAUGACCUCUAAGGCUAUGAGCGGAGCGAGGGGAAGGGGCAGGCAGUGGCUUUGACUUUGCUGAGCUUCCCCACCUCCUCCGAGGCCAGGGCACAGCUGGGGCCCAAGGCCACCAGGCAGAACAAAUGUUUUCCUUUCCUACCACCACCUACACCGGGCCCCUGACUUCUCCCCCCGGCCUCCCGCUUCAUGUGCUUUGUGCUCCCCGUCUCUCUGCCCCUCUCUGCCCAUCGCUUCAGAAGGAGCCUUUAAUCCCUUGCCGUCCACUGCCGUCCAUCCAGGCGGCGGGCUCCAGGGCAGUGUGCCGGAGGCAAUGUACAUGAGGCAUGGCGCUCCUCCGGGUGACUGUCCCUCUCACUCCCCCUUCACCGUGGCCCUGGGUCCCUGCCUCACAGGGCUCCAGGCUAAGGCUUAGACCCUUCUGCGCUCUGGUCUAGGGUCAGAGCCUAACUCUGGCUCCUAUGUGUGCUUGCAGUAGGGUUUUAGGUGAGCGGCAUCUCCUCCCUAGAUGGUCUCCGGGGUCCCUCCCUGUUUGGUGUCUGAACUGUCCAGGGUGGAGUACUCCUUCAAGAAAGGCAGCCGGCAGCGGCAGCUUGUGGGAGGCAUGCUGACGGAGGCUGGAGGCUGGAGGCUGCGGCGGAUAAGUGCACUGAGGGGCCUCUGAGGAGGUGUGAAUGAGGGAGGCAGAGCAGGCCGGUGAGGACAGCCCUGUCCCAGCCCUAUCUCCCGUCCCCGACACCCUCUCCACACCCCGGCCCUGAUAAGCAGGUGUGAGCCACGGCAGCCUUGUGACAGGCCCUUCAGCAGGGAGGGGACGGCGGGGUCCACUCCACUUCUGAAUUCAGACGUCAGCAUCUCAUUCCCCCCCACCCCCCACCAUUUCCCUGCCGGACCGGACAGGCCCAACUCCUGAGCGUCCUCCUGACGCUCAGCCCCCUUUGGGCUUUGUGACUCUGUCCCUGCCCGUGAGGCCUCAGCCUCCUCAGGGUGGUAGGGGACAGACCUCCCUCUAUCUUGUGGCUAAGUGCCGAGGAGGAUGGCCACCCCCAGCCAAGCCCGCUCCUGCAGUGACCGUGGUGCUGAGGCCUGGCAACCCCCGUUUACCACGGGGCACGCCUCAAGGCUACUCCUCCCGUGUCUUCUCGUCCCGUCGCCUCCAGUCCCUGUGGCCAUCAGCUUUCAGUCGUGCUCCCUCCACCUUGGCUUUGGGGUCACUGCUCCGUCUGGCCCCAGCCAAUGUUCAGAAGGCCAAGGCCAGAAACCCCUAAUUUCUGCAUUGGUGGGCAUCGGGGCUGGGGGAGCAGGGAAGGCUAGGGGAAGAGGCGCAGGGCUUGGGGCUCUGGGAAAGGGGACAGAAAGGCAAAUAGGACUGAGGAGGGGCCACAGAAAGUCCAGGGCACUCCCUGGACCCCCGAGGAGGGUCUUUGUGCACGCCCCAAACCCAAGGCGCUAAACUGCCUUCUACUUUCUCAAAGGCUCUCUUCUGAGUUCACACCUGAAGGUUAUUUUGAUUCUCAGGUUGUAACCAUUCUGUGCCAGGCAGCCCGUGUGUGUGUGUGUGUGUGUGUGAGUGUGUAAAGGGUGCUUGUUCUCUAACACUGGCUGAGAGCACAGACUCUGGAGCCAGGCGGAUUGGCCUGGUGUAGGAUCCCUGCUCUGCUGUCUUACCAGGUAGGGAGCUUGGGCAAACUGCAUAGCACGCCUUGUAGGACUCUAAGUAUCGAGUUGAUCCACAUAAAGCAUUUGAACAGUGCCCAGGGCAGAGUAAGCGACAUGUAAUUGUUGGCCAUUGUUAUGAUUUAUGUAAAUUUCAUUUUAACAUAAUUUCAAAUUUACAGAAGAGUUGCAGGCCAUUCCCAUAUAUCAUUCGUAUAUUAUUCAUAUUUUGCCCAUUUAUUUUAUUCUCUCUGUGCAUUUGUGUGCAUAUAAUACACUCUACAUUCGACACAUACACACACACACUUUUUUUUUUUUCUGAAUCACCUGAGAGUAAGUUGAAGACACCAUGUCUUUUUAGCCUGAAAUAACUCAGUGUGUAUUGUUUACAAAACCACAAUACAGUUAUCAAAAACAGAAAAUUUAAUACUGCUAUAAUUCUGUUACUAAUCCACAGUCCAUAUUCAAAUUUCAUCCAUUACCUCAAUCACAUCUCCUUUAUGUCUGUUUUUUUUUUUCCUGUUCCAGGGUCACCCACUGCAUUUAGUUGUCCUGUUUCUGUAGCCUGCUUUAAUCUGGCUAAAUUCUUCAGCCUCUCUGUGUUUCGUAAACUUGAAAUUUUUGAAGAGUUCAUGCCGGUUAUUUUGUGGAAUGGUGUUGCUCAAAUUCUGUUGUGCUCUUUCUCCAUUGUUAGUUUUAGGUUAUGCAUUUUGGCAAGAUCACCAUGAAGGUGACUCUGUCUUUCUCAGAGUACCACAUGGGGAGGCUCCCAGUGUCCAACUGCCCAUUUGUUAGAGGUGUUGCCUUUGGUCAUUCGGUUUAUGUGGUAUGCACCAAACUCUCCCUGAGUACAACUGCCGUUUUCUCUUCACAAUUAAAAAGUAACCGUGAGAAAUACUUUUA